rnacentral:rRNA from 1 species
GAUGAACGCUGGCGGCGUGCCUAAUACAUGCAAGUCGAGCGAACAGACGAGGAGCUUGCUCCUCUGACGUUAGCGGCGGACGGGUGAGUAACACGUGGAUAACCUACCUAUAAGACUGGGAUAACUUCGGGAAACCGGAGCUAAUACCGGAUAAUAUAUUGAACCGCAUGGUUCAAUAGUGAAAGACGGUUUUGCUGUCACUUAUAGAUGGAUCCGCGCCGCAUUAGCGAGUUGGUAAGGUAACGGCUUACCAAGGCAACGAUGCGUAGCCCACCUGAGAGGGUGAUCGGCCACACUGGAACUGAGACACGGUCCAGACUCCUACGGGAGGCAGCAGUAGGGAAUCUUCCGCAAUGGGCGAAAGCUUGACGGAGCAACGCCGCGUGAGUGAUGAAGGUCUUCGGAUCGUAAAACUCUGUUAUUAGGGAAGAACAAAUGUGUAAGUAACUAUGCACGUCUUGACGGUACCUAAUCAGAAAGCCACGGCUAACUACGUG